UUGCUAUAACUCUAUUUGGUUACAUAAUAGUGUGAAAUAAAAGGUUCUGUAUUAUACUAAAGAGGCCACUGAGACGUCAGAGAACCAGACAGAGUUCAAGUCGUCUCUAUUAUAUCAAUUCUGUGUGACCAUGUGGUGGUGAUGGGGGUGUCGGUGGGAGGGGGGAGGAGGAGUUGGUGAGGAGAUGUACUAGGUCUGGAUUCUAGAGUCUUCAUCAUUAAAAAUGAUGGGUUUGGACCAAGAGAGUCUUUCCUUUGCUCUAAGAAUUCCUUAGAGCAAAGGAAUUCUUUUUCUCCCCUACAUGAGCUCUCAAGCCAAUUCCUGAUAUAUAAAAGGUAAUAGUGGAGCUGAACUGAAUGAAGCAGGGGGUGGCUGUUGAGCCUGGCCCCAUCUCACUCUUUAUCUUUUUUUAUCUUAUUCCCCUCCAUCCCCUAGGAUGAUCACUGACAUGUCCUUAGAACUUAGGUCUCCAUGGAGAAGUCAGAAAACCACUGGGUUAGGUAAAGUUAGAUGUUCAUCUAAGUAUUACCAAACCGGUAAUACUUAAAAUAUUAACUAUAUUAACACUUAAAAUACUAAGUAAGUACCAAAUCUGGAAAGGCCCGGAUGAGUAAUGCCUCGGUUUUCUCAGUGGGCUUGGAGCUUUAUGCACCCUUAUUUAGUGUGUAUGUGUGUGUGUGCACGCAUGUGCAUGUGGGUGAACAUGACAUGCCAGAGCUGAAAUGCUCUAAUCCAACCUCUCCUCAGGGAGCCCAUCUUCAGUUGCAAGCGACAGAACCCAAGUCAAACUAGCUUGUGCAUUACAGGAAAAUCAUUGUUGCAUUUAACUAGAUAGAAAGUCCUCACAUGGAUCUGGCUUCAGGGCAGGGGUUUAAGCCCAUAUCAUCAGGAUAAUAUGGGCUUCUUAGCUCUUCCACUUCUUAGCUCUUCUAUAGUCUGCACGGUUUCCUUCUGUGGCAGGUGUUCCUCAUGAUGAGGCUGCCAACGCCUCUCAGCUGAUAGUCUAGGAACCCAACAACCUCCCUGGAAAGAGAGCACGCCCCCUUGUUAGUUUCUAUGGAAAUCCUUCAUGCCCACCCUCAUUGGCUGGGUAUGGGCCACUUGCUCAGCAUUGACCAUUGCCAUGGCCCGGGGAUGCAGACCGCUAAUUGGCCAGCUUGGGUUAUCGAACUCACUUAGGGCAGGCGGAUUGUACUACCCCUUACGCUGCAAGCCAGGCUGAAAUACCGGUAUUUGCAGCAGGAAGAGCAGUUAUUUGCAAGGCAGCCAAGCAAGAAGGCGGGAGACCAAAUCUCAGAUACUGCUCCCUGAAGGCAAAGGGCUGGAAUAUCUGUAAGGUAAAGAAUAAAGAAGCAGGGUGGUCUAAAGCACGGGGAGUGUGGAGAAAAGAUGCGGUAAUUAGCCUUCUUGGCAGACGUAACUAGGCUGCAGGCCUCGAGGCCUUCUGAGGAUGGAGUUUUCCGUUCUUUGACGUUGAAAGGCCUAUAGAAACCUGUGCCGUCCCUGGCUUGGCCCCCUUGAACUCUGGAUGCUCCCUGGUAUAGGAGGACCAUGGACAAUGACAGGAAUGGUGACCUGCUCUAGCUCCAGCCACACACCUGCCCAGGUGUUCCUUCUCUGUGGUCAGCCCCUCUGUGACCUGAUCAGCUGUGACCUUCAACCAAACAUUCACACGAGUCCAGUGACCAUCAGAGUCUUCGGCCUCAAAGAACACACAGAAGGAACAAAGCAAAAAGCUCUUCUAUCCUGGCUCCUCAGAGCUCUCUGAGAGGUGGUGUCCUAGGUUGCAGUCCUCGGUAAGAUGCCUGGACUCACAACUUUUAGAUUGCACCAUGGUGGCCAGGCUGCACCUCCAGGUCUAGGAGUCACACCUUGCACAGAGCGAGAAUGGAAGCUUUGCCUUCAACAGAAGAGAGGGUUGGAAUCCAGCUGAAAAGCAGAAGCAAACAGAUUUAGCUCCAUGUGAUUGACAAGCAAUCUAGCCGCAAAAUCGUGCAGUGAUUAGGAGAAUGAAGGGCAGGAGAAUUAAUGCACUUUUCUUGGGAAGGUUCCAGUUAUCUACGGAGCUGGGGAGGCUGGGGGUGGUGAUUUAUGAAGGGGAGGCACUCUGGUGCAUCCGACACAGGUUGUAGCCAAAUAAAAUAGAAUU